CCUACGGGAGGCAGCAGUGAGGAAUAUUGGUCAAUGGCCGGAAGGCUGAACCAGCCAUGCCGCGUGAAGGGCAGGGCCCUAGGGGCGUUAAACUUCUUGUGUGCGGGAGCAAGAAUGGUCACGUGUGACCAGACGAGAGUACCGUACGAAUAAGCAGCGGCGAACUCCGGGCCAGCAGCCGCGGUAAGACGGGGGAUGCAAGCGUUAUCCGGAUUUCGUGGGGGUCAUGGGUGCGUAGGCUGUGAGGUAAGUCAGCGGUGAAAGGCCCCCGCUCAACGGGGGGAAGUGCCAUUGAUACUGCCUUGCUGGACUGCGGAUGCCGUGGGAGGAUUGUGUGGUGUCGCGGU
rnacentral:rRNA from 1 species